rnacentral:rRNA from 1 species
AAUGAACGCUGGCGGCAUGCCUAACACAUGCAAGUCGAACGAAGGCUUCGGCCUUAGUGGCGCACGGGUGCGUAACGCGCGGGAAUCCGCCCUUGGGUUCGGAAUAACAGUUAGACAUGACUGCUAACACCGGAUGAUGUCGUCAGACCAAAGAUUUAUCGCCCAAGGAUGAGCCCGCGUAGGAUUAGCUAGUUGGUGGGGUAAAGGCCUACCAAGGCGACGAUCCUUAGCUGGUCUGAGAGGAUGAUCAGCCACACUGGGACUGAGACACGGCCCAGACUCCUACGGGAGGCAGCAGUGGGGAAUAUUGGACGAUGGGCGAAAGCCUGAGCCAGCAGUGCGGCGUGAGUGAUGAAGGCCUUAGGGUUAUAAAGCUCGGUUACCCGGGGUGAUAAUGACGGUAGCGAGAGAAUAAGCGCCGGCUAACUUCAUG